UUUGUUGACUUAAAAUGUCGUUCUAGGAACUUCUAAGUCGUGGGCCGCAGGUUCGAAUCCUGCAGGGCGCGCCA
rnacentral:tRNA from 11 species